CCCUCCGACGCUCACGAAAAGAAUAACUUUUGUCUAAAUUUUUUUUUAACCUUUCUCCUCCAGCCGUUGCCGGCGGCGCCCCCAUCCGCGGCGAAGUCGCCGGUGAAGUGGGUCAUCUGGCCGCAGGGCAUUUCUGUCGCCAUAUCUGGCGCCCAGUACCACGUAUUUCCACCGCGCUCCAUCAGCAGCCGCGCCGCCCCUAAUCGCCGGCCUCCAGCGAGGGGAACUGCGUUGCCGUCUUCGGCUUGACCCCCCUCAAUCCUCAUCGGUGGAGUAGGGACAACCGGACAAGCAUGGCAGGUCAAGGAUAAGGAUGGGGAUGGGGAUGAACCACACGAACGCCAGGCAGUUCAAUGUAUUGCAAUCUAUGCGAUGAUUCGGUGCAAGGGAAUUACAUUAUAUGAAUCUGGAGUCAGCAACAGUUUAGAGGUACCUGGUGUUUGGGGGCAAGCUGAAGCUGACAGCGGUGGGCAGCUGCCUGGAAGCAGCUGGAGGCCUCCUUCACCAGUCGGCGACUGGCCUAGCUAUCAUAUGCCGUCAACCACACCACACAUGGAGUCAUGCGUGUCUCACUCGCCAUAACUCUGUGGUUUGCGUGCAAACAAGGGUGGCAAAAACCUUGUGAUCUUUGCGAACGUCUCUGUUUAUUGGUAUAGCUGUUUUAUAUACACAUUUUUGUAGCGUUGAAUCUGAGGUACGCUUUAUUUUGGUUAUGCCGUGGACAGGAUUGAAUCUCGCGGCUGGUAUUGCACCAUCUUAA